GAAAUGCGAUAAGUAAUGUGAAUUGCAGAAUUCAGUGAAUCAUCGAAUCUUUGAACGCACCUUGCGCUCCUUGGUAUUCCGAGGAGCAUGCCUGUUUGAGUGUCAUUAAAUUCUCAACCUUAUCAGCUUUUGUUGAUAAUGGCUUGGAUGUGGGGGUUUAUUGCUGGCUUCUAACGAGGUUGGCUCCCCUUAAAUACAUUAGCUGGUUGCCUUGUGCAGACAUGUCUAUUGGUGUGAUAAUUAUCUACGCUGUGGACUUUCUGCCAGUAUUUAGCACCGCUUCUAACUGUCUGUUAACUUGGACAACAUAUGACAAUUUGACCUCAAAUCAGGUAGGACUACCCGCUGAACUUAA
rnacentral:misc_RNA from 1 species